AACUUGGAGGAGCUCAUCCUCCACUCCCUCCUCACGGGUGCGCACGAAGGAGCAGCCUUGUCCUUCUUUUCCAGAUCUGGCAUGCGAAGGGACUUGUGAGUGGUCAUCGUCAUCCUUGUCCUCCUCUCCCUUCUCGUAGAUGCCAUCGUCCUUCUCCUCCUCCUCAAUCAGAUCCAUCAUAUGGAGGACGUGACGACUGCAACCACACACACAGGGGCUCGAUGAUGGUGGGUGUACGCGAGGAGCGUCGCUCGGUGACGGUAGCCAAAUGGCGGGGAGCAGACCUAGGAUCAUCUGUACUCGGAUAUGAAGGAAUAUUAUUCUUCAGGCGGUCUAGCCCAUCCCACCAUUGAUCCGCUCCAACCCAACGUAUCCCAACCCACAACUAAACGCACCCUUAUAGAAUUAUCAUGUUUUCAAGGACCAAAUCCACCAAAACAACCAAUCUAUUUACCUAUGUAGACAUGUAUACAUAUAACACACAUGUUUUUUCCUCACGCUUUAAUGACUAAAAGCUACAUUAUUUUGUGAUAAAUAUUUAAUGGUACAAACAAAUAAAUUAAUUAUAA